CAAGAAGUAGUUUAACAAGAAUUCCAGCUUUGGGUGCUGUGCGGUGGGGAGUUA
rnacentral:tRNA from 1 species